rnacentral:SRP_RNA from 1 species
CCGUGCUAGGUGGGGAGGUAGCGGUUCCCUGUACUCGAAAUCCGCUUUAUGCGAGACUUAAUUCCUUCGUUGAGGGUGUACUUUUGUGAAGUCUGCCCGAAGCACGAGGUGUUUGAAGAUUUCGGUCCUAUGCAAUAUGAACCCAUGAAUCAUGUCAGGUCCUGACGGAAGCAGCAUUAAGUGGACACUCAUAUGUGCCGUAGGGUAAGAUUUAGCUAUCGACUUCGGUAACGUUUAUGAUGUACACUCGAUUCGAAGGUGCACGG